GUGACCACGUUUUGAGCCAGCUAGCUACAGGAUAAAACAUACUAAGCGCUAGGGCGAGUCUUGUGGUGUGCACUGUUCGUUCAAGAAUUACAGAAUUACACUACUGUGCACUGUCAAUUUAUUUACUAGUAUCACUCGUACCCUUUUUACCAGAAAAGUCGACAUUGGAGUGGUUUUGUUUUCUUUUUCUUAGUUAUACAAGGUGUUGUUUUGCUGCCUUCUAUGUUUGCAAUCCUGAAAAUUGCAUGUACAGUCCUGAUAAUGUUACAUACCAUAAACAUUUAUACUAAUAAUGGCAGAUGAUGUGUGUGUUUUACAUGUUCUUUAUUCUUUUCUUUCAUCAUUUAGUCAAGAUUGCUCAAAACAGGCCACGAGUGCUUGUUCUGAGAAAAUAGCAAGCUCCACAUAUUUUGCACUGUUGUCAUCAAGACAACGUGGUAGCAUCGCAUGGUACAGAUUGUUAGCCUGCAGCGAUAUUCAUUGUGAAUGUCACUGGGGGUUUGAUUUACCUUCAAAUUUUAUUUCAACUGGAUUGUGGUGGUUCUUUCUUGCUGGCCACAUUCAGGUUAAUGGCUCAGGAAGUAUGUUCUGGUCAGUCGUGACGAAAGUUUUGCAGAUGCAGGGCAUACAAAAUUGGAUUUAAAUCAAGCUGAAUGCUUUGAUAGCUUUUGAUAGUUUCAUAGAGAACGUUGUCACUUCACUGCGUUUCGACAGUAUUGAGCUGUAGGCAUUUUGAGCCUGUCAGCAAGUGGCUACAGUGUGAAAAUGUUUCUAGGUUAACUGGUGUUAAAAAGCCUAGUUUACAUACAUUAAAUAAGUAUUUUCUUUUUACUGUUUCUACAGAAUACAUUGUUCCCACAGAACAUGACGAAAUCUAGCAGGAUAGAAACAAGGAUGUAAGGGUGGGAGGUAAAGGUUGCUACGAUAGCAGUAUGAUGAUAUGCCUGUUCCAGUAUGGUUUGGUACAAUGUCAGCAGAUUAUGCAAUAAAUAUAUACAAACACAGAUAAAAACGAUAGUUAGUUAAUAUUAUUGUAAUAUUUGUGAUGCAAGGUAGGCUUGAAAACCUGGAAAUUAAACUAUUGAUAACACCCAGGCUGAGGAUUCUCCAUAAAAAAUGCGGCCGUGGUUCGUCUGUGUAUAAUUCACUUGGACAAGUGAACUUCUUGUCACUGUUGCAUUAUGCAGCAUUGUUUUUUGAAGCUCAAGGCCAUUUAUUAUUUAGCUUAAUUAAGCACUGACGUAUAUGUGUACAUUAAUAUAUAUACAAAAAUAAGUAUACACUUACUGCACUUCACUUUGGUCAUGUACAUUUUAUUACUGUUACUCAUGUGUGCUUGUCAUGGUUAGUGUUGUGUAUUGUCCACCAGUCGUAUUUGUACUUUCUUUUCCUUUACUAAUGAAAGAGGCACAAAGUAAUGUAAGGAUAAAUGCCUGAAAGGUUGUGAACUGCCUGAUUUUCAUAGUUGUUUUCUGUAGGCUUCCUACAAUGCCCAAAUCUGAACAGAUGCUUGACUGACACAAAUUUGUUUUCGUUGUGUAAGUGUGAGUGAUGUCAUGUGUAGAUCUUGUGCACCAUCUAUAAUGUUUGUCCCACAUGUUUUGAGCAUGCAUCACCUGUGCCUCCCAUGCUGUUUUCUUACUUUCUGGUUUUUGUGCUUGAAAUUUUGGCUGCACAUUAGUGGUAGUACUGUGAUUUUGGCAUGUGCUUCGAUUCCAGCAAUGAUUGCUAGAAUUUGUUGUCUGUUUAGUGGGGAGAUUCUCAAAGAAAAAGGCUGCUCAAGUGCAGAAUAUUUGUUGGAAUAAAAAAAAAAAAGUCACAGUAUUGAAGCCUUACAAUGCAUCCACAUGUACAGGGUGACCCAGAAGGUAACAGAGAAAGUAAAUAUUUAACAUUUGAAGAUUGCAAACCAUAGCAAGAUGCAAUUUUCACAGAAAUGAACAAAAAUGUUUUUAAAAAAUCGCGUUGACAAGUCUCGAUGACAACAGUAUGCAGUCCAUACUGUAUGCAGUCCAACAGUAUGCAGUCCAUACUGGAGUCCAUACGAGUAUGCAGUCUUUACUUUGGGAAUUAUUAUACUUUUAUUUAUUGUGUUACUUCUGGCUCACCUAGGAUACUUGUGAGCAUCAAUUUUGUGUAUUUCUACAUAAAACAGCACUUUAAUCUUGUCACACUUCUUUACAAAAAUUAUUGAAUGCUCUCUUCAUGGAACAUCUCAAGAUCAUUUUGGCCAGCAUCACAACUGGUUCUCGGAACUUGCUCAUUGACACAGUGAUUUUUGCAAGAGGUUUGAUGCACAUGCUGCAAGCACAAGGUGCUAUCUAAGGGUGCUGAUGGGCUUUGAUCGUUAGACUGGCAAUAGUGCUUAGUGGUCAUACAUCAUGCGUGUAUGAUGUGCACAGCUAAUGGGUAAAUACUUUCACAAGGCAGUGAGAAUGUUAUCUCGUUAUGCAUUUGAGAAGGCAGUACCAAAAAGGGUAACUUGAGAGAAGUGGCAUGUCACAGCUUUGUAGUAUGGAAAAGAUAUUAUGGUUCUGGACAAAGGUUGAUUUGGACUUAUCAUUAUCAUUGCAGCAUUCCAAAGAGCUGAGCUCUAGAACUGGACUUAAUAUAAUUUUCAAGUACUGACAUGAUGGACGCAUUUCAUUGCUUUGCUAACUGGUCAGGGCAUCAUCAGCAUAUCCUUAUUAGAGUUUGCUGCUGAUGCCAUAUUUCAUACUUUGUUGCACUUUCCAAGAAACAUUUAACAUGAAAUAUGUAGACUAGCAUGGCACUGUAAACUGCAUUUAUUAAUUCUUACUUUUAUUGUUGCAGGCAUUAGAGAACCAUCGUUCAUGCACAAUUUAUACCUCAGGAAUUGAUUUAAUUAUUAGUUAAACCAUUCAGUCGGCACCAUUUGCCAUUUCAACCUGCUAUGCUGUUCAGACUUCACAUUGACUCGGUCAUAAAUAAGAUCAACUUGUAUAUGUAUGUUUAGGUAAACAUUUUCUUCGUGUCCUGAUGUAACAGUCAAAUACAGCAAUCUGGGACAGUCAAACACAUUGAUGAAAUGAAGUUGCUUGGAGAACGCUUACAAUGACAUUUGUAGAAAAGUGUGAUGCAGUGUGAAGGCCAAAGUUUUGUACGCUUGCUGGCGCGCAAACGCCCGCACCCGCACACCUUGCAUUUGUCGUGCCUUGCGAGGAAUGGUGGUUUGAACCUACAAGACUCUUGCCGCACAUUUUCGCCUUGGUAGACAUCGUUUCGUAUUUUUGUGAGGCAGCCAGAGCACCAACAUUUGUCUGGAGAAGAUAGACAGCUUUAGAAUAGGCUUUGUCUCCUUACGUAUGUUAAAUGCAAGCACCUUUGCGAAACGUUUCGGUGUACAUCCCUUCAAGACUUCAGUUUAAAGUACGGAAACGCAAACGCAAGGAAGAUGCUAGAAGGCAGGGCGCUGUCUGGUGCCUCGUGCCAAAUGCACCCAAGCCUACACAAUAUAAUAACAACCUUCCUGUUGCUAUGCGGACACGUCUCGUUAGGCCUAUGGGCGCCGGAAUCGCAAAACCAUUUCAUAAAUUGGACACGCUAUGCGCUCAUAACUAACAUUUCAGGUGAGUUUAGAGAAAGCAAAAGCUCAUUUCAAUAGUUACUGGCGAUCAACGUGAGUGAGAACGCAGCGAUCAAGAGAAUUCAUGCUAAAGCGGGAGCCAUGGGUGCAGCCAUGUUGGACGAGGCUAUUUCUUAGCGUGCACAUAUCUGUGCUUGCGCCGCACUUCGGCGCGUACGAUCUGUCCUGCACCAUCUGCACAUGAGUGAGGUGCGGGGGCGUGAGAUUUCGCGUGCCGGCAUGCGUGGGCAUAGUUUGGCUUUUAGGCUUCACCAUUGUGCUAGUACUCCAUGCCCUUGAUUGACUUUGGAGGCCUAUUUUGUCAGCAUCCUACAGUUUAGUGCAGCAGUCAGCUAUUUUUCAUUGUUAAUGCUUCACAUGUUAAAAAAAAAAAAGGUGCUUGCGCUCAUCAGGAUAAGGCAAGAACAGGGCCACUUUUUUGUAGCGGUGCUUUUUCCCAAUAUUAAUGCCUUUCGGCGCUUUUCGUGUUAGUGAGUGAUCAAAGCUAUGCUUCGCCCGGGGUGGAGCAAUAUUUUGACCACUCACAAUUGCGAAAAGCGAUGAAAGGCAUUAGCAUGGGGGAAAAGCAUCGCUACAAAAUAGUGGCCCAGAGCAAGGUUUGGGCAUGUCCUUUACGAUUUCUCUAUAACACAGGGUGUAGAUUCCAAUCCCAGAAGUUUGUAUAAUACUCUUCUAUAUCUGUGAGCACACGUACACGCACACGAUGCUUUGAGGCAUAUCUCUGUGAUAUUGCAGUGCCCCAAGACUCGGUCUCGCUCUACAACGAAUAGACAUUUGUUUGUCAGAAAUCUCACUCCUUGGUACACUGCCAAAGUAACUUGUACUGCACUAGCACAGCUUUAUGGACAAUUUAGGAAAAAUACAGAAAAGACGUAGCAUUUCGGAAGAUAUCUUGAAUUGCAUAAAAAGGGAGAAAUGUAAUUGUGGUCCUUUGUUGUUAUUUUUCUUAUUCGUGGGGCUUUCAUCAGUUCAUUAAAGCUUGAGUACUGUUGUUUAUAAAAUGUUUUAUCUUAUGUAGUGGUAUAAAGCUUGUUUUAAAGUGUGGCCCGUAACACAGUAACCAUUUGUCACAGUGAAGGACAGGAAAUUUACUUAAUAAUAAGCAGAAUUUUGUUAAACGCAGAGAGGCCCCAAAAGAGCCAUGGUAACAUGGGAUGUACACUCCAAUGGUGCAGGAGCUCGCAUCACCUAUAUUGAAUCAAAGCCACGCUCAGUGGUAGGGACAUGAUAUUCAUAAAACUUUGCUGAUAUAUGUGGUCAGCUGCCUCAUAUGUUAUCCUUGCAUGAAGAUAGUCUGUCCUGAGGAGCUGCCACAAUGUGCCAAAGUGACUUUCACAGAAUUCUUUGGCCACCCCAACAUGAUAGACAAAAAGAAAUGGUUACUGUAUAUUCUACACCAGUUGGUCUCACUCAGAUUUGCAGCUCUUUACUAAGUGGAUGCUGACACCGCUCCACUUUGAUUAACUUGGUUCUAAAAUGCAUUCACAGCAGUUGGGACUAUGAAAAACUUUGAACUCGAUACUUCUAAUAAAGUGAUUUCAGUUGUAACAAUGUAUUGUAUAAUGCGCUGCUAUAAGGUCAAAUUUGUGAGACCCAAUUUGAACAAAGCUCCCUGCUCUGGUUGAAUUUGUCUUUCGCAAGAACAAAUGUUUCUGUGGUGUGCUAAAGUUACUGUAACAAUACAAAUGCAUGAUGUUGCCUGCGCAAACUGCUAAACAUUCUUAAACUACAAAGUGUGAACAUUUUACACUUGCACAGCCUAGAUCUUCAUUGUGAGCACUGUAUUUUGGAUCUGUUAGUUUAUAUUAUAGGGUUUCACUCUGAAAUCACCAUCUGGUGCUUGGGCCUCUGAUAAGUGCCGGUGUGGUGGUAAAGCCAGUGUGGGAAUAAUGGGCAGUAUGCAAAAUUUUCUAGUUUGGGAGUCUAGCGGAGUAUUCUUGUGGCCUUUUUGUUAUGCUUAUGCUGGAUUUGUUCACUCGCUUUAAUUACAUGACAAAAAAAAAAAGAAAGAGUAGCCUGUUUGUGCAAAGCAAUUAACUGCUCGAAUUAAAUGUUUGGGGUGAGCACACAGUGCAUUCGAGCUUCAAGGGACAAUUAAAUAAGCCACAAUGUUUUCCUGACAACGCCAUUUCAGUGUAGAAAAAUGCAUGUACUGCCUUUGAUUCCCACAAUUAUUGCAGCACCAGGUUUCUCUCUGGUAAUGUUAGCAUGCAACUCUGUGUUUGAAAGGAGUGCUGUCAGACAUGCAAGUUGGGCAGGGCCUUCAUGAUGUCCUGCUGCCUAAAUCAAACCAUGUCACCCCUGCAAGAGAACUUUAGAAGUUGCUGCUUUUUUGCUGCUCUGUUGUCCCAAGCUAAAAUAAAAUUGUCACCACUGCAUUUUGGAUUUUUUUUCUCUGUCCUGAUGCAUGCUCAAGACAUGGUGGACUAUGUGUGUGCACAUUUUUUUCUCUGUAGCAUGUCUUGGCAUGCUUCAUCAUGUAGAAAGCACAUCACAUCAUCUUAUUUCAUUGUGUUUAUGUGGCAUAAGCAACAAUUAAUGUUCUGGCUACUAUAGUUUAGGAACGAACGGAGGGUGUCUCAAUGGAAACUUCCUCGGAUUUAAAAUAGGGGACACGAGAUGAAGCUUUUUCUUUUUUUUUCCAGUCAGGAUUCAUAGCUUUGGUAGACAAUGAAAAUUGCGCUAUAAUCGCGCAACUUUUGAGUUCCUUCACUUCUAGGAAUUUUGGGCAACAAGGAUUGAUUACCAUAUUGGUUGUAAUCCUAUAUUUUAAAUAAUUGAAUACAGUUGUUGCUGGAAGACCCUGUAUAAUGAGCGGGUAGAGGCCUUUUGAAGCAGGCUUGUACAGUAGUGCCAAAUGUCAAGAGUAACAAAUAUUUUUUUUAGAAGUGUGCUUGCUACUUGGUUAGGUUUGUUAAGCGGAAUAAUACCGACAAGAAUUACAUACUGCUAUUUGGGGGAACCAUGUAUUUAAAGUGAGACAUUUAGUGAAUGCCUUAGUUGUGUUAGUAUGGCCAAGUGUUGGUUGCAAAGUACUGUGCAACGGUAAUAUGCAAUUCAUGCACUUCCUAGGAAGACAAGGCUGAAUUUAUUAGGGUAUUCCAUCCUGGUGAGACAUACCAUAGCUUCCGAUUUCAGGGAUUGCUUGACUCUUGAAACUUCUGAGAAGGCAUUAUUUAUUUUAUUUUAUUUCAUAAACGUUGCAUUACAUAAUGCCAAGGCUAUAGGUAACCUUGCCAAUACUUUGCUAUCACUGGGGUAAGCCAGUGGUACCACAGCAGAAGCUGCUCUUCAAGUUACACAUCCAUUAUUUAUCUGUAUUAAGGUUCCUUAAUGUAUUCUGCAGCAAAUUAUCUUUUUUGAGUCCAUAAGAAACAGGACAUAGCUCGCUGCACUUUCUAAAAGACAAUGUUGAAAAAAGUUGAAAACUGGAUUGUUAACAUUUCAUGUACCAGAAAAUGUGUAUAAUGCCAAAGCAUAGUACAACGGCAUUCCUAAAGAGGUGCUGUUGGGCUCAAUAUUGCUGAAUCCCGUUCUGAUUAGUGGUAGCACCCUGCUUACAAGAAAAUUUGCGCUUGUCAAUUUUAUGAUUGAAAUAACUGGCGGGUGUAUGCCCGCGUUGGGGCAACUCAUAUUGAGUGCGAUAGUACAUGUCUGUUGCGAUUUAACGCAUGUGCCAGAGUUUUCAUGUUGCACAGUUCUUGGCAAAAGUAUCUAAGCCACUUUGCCAAUUGACGAAAUCCAUUGUCAGGCCUUGUGGCAAGGCUCCUGUAGCAAGCCUUGUACUCCAGAGCUUAAAUGAUCAAGAGCUGCUGCUCCAUUCAGUCUCUUGAGGCUUCGAAGUGACAAAAGUUAAGGACACACUGCACAAUGAUGCAUGUGGUCCAACAAAUGACUAGCUGUACCAGCAAGCGUGUUCAUUUAGUUUCCAUGUUCCAAUAGGCAUACCAGCCACCUUUUCCUGGCCACGGCGGCUGCAUUUCGAUGGGGGCAAAAUGUGAAAACAACCAUGUACUUAGAUUUAGGUGCACGUUAAAGAACCCCAGGUGGUCCAAAUUAUUCGGGAGCCCCUCACUAUGAUGUGCCUCAUAAUCAAAUUGUGGUUUUGGCACAUAAAGCCCCAUAAUUUUUUUUUUAAUAGCAGCCACCUUUCUGCACAAAUCAUCUGUCUCCCGCUUUUCAGGGGCCCCAAUUCACAGGUUGGUGGUAGGUUCAGUCGCAUGUGCAGUGGGUCGGUAACAUCUGACAGACACUGUAUUCUGUUCUCUUCAGGGUGGGGGCUAUUUCGUGGGGUACUUGAAUGUCAUCUAUUCAGGUACUGAACAAUUUUGUGCAGUAUCUUUUCAGGACGUCAAAUCUGCUUUGUGCAUAGUUAUGCAACACUGCUAAUACAAAAUUAGCAGUGUUAUAGCUGUAGGGAGGCCCUGCUAUCAGAGAAUUAUGAAGUAAGCAGUAAAGAAAUUUCCCUCCAUAGUUCCUUCAUUCACGCGGACAAUUUAAAACUGGAAGGAUUGUCAGCACAACCAAUAUAGAUUUAUCGAUGUCAACUCCCAACACCAACGAGUGCCAGGCCACCAUCUACAGCAUGGGCAUGGAAAAAAGCACUGCUGGCUGUGUAGUGCAUGCUCAAAGUGUUCGUGUUGUGUGUGCAAAGCCUCUGUCCUCUAGCUGAAAGUCACAUGUCACACAUUGGAAAGCCAGGAUGCUUUUGUCAUGUGGUAUGCACUUUACCUGGUAGAGUAGCAGGCUUUCAUGCCCUUAUAUUAGCUAGUGUAUCAUAAUCCUGCUAUCUGACAUCGGUGUAGCUACAUUCCCAUCUUAUUACAUUCUUUGCCUCAUGUAAG